rnacentral:rRNA from 1 species
GGAUAACCUUCCGAAAGGAGGGCUAAUACAGCAUGGGACCACGUCUUCGAAAGAGGAUGAGGUAAAAGCGGGCCUCUAUACAUAAGCUCGCGCCACGAGAUGAGCCUGCGGCCCAUCAUGGUAGUUGGUAGGGUAACGGCCUACCAAGCCGAAGACGGGUAGCUGGUCUGAGAGGAUGGUCAGCCACAUUAGAUCUGGAACACGUCUAACUAUCGAAGUGGUAGCAGCAGUGGGGAAUCUUGGACAAUGUGUUAACACACGAUCCAGCAAUAUCUUAGAGACUAUGAAGGCUUGAAAGAGCUGAAAGGUUUAGAAUAAUAAAAGAACAAGGUAUUUUCUUGACUUACUUUUAUUAUGUAAGCUCCGACUAAUUUCGUGCCAGCAGUCGCGGUAAGACGAGAGGAGCAAGUGUUAUUCGUGCUGAUUGGGCGUAAAGGUAUGUAGACGGUUAAAUAAGUUUAAAGUUAAAAACAAUGAGCUUAACUCUUGAGAAGCUUUUUAAUACUAUUUAAC